GCUGGGAGUAGUAGCAUGUGCCUGUAGUCCCAUCUACUCGGAGCGCUGAGGCAGGAGAAUCACUUGAGCCCAGGAGUUUAAGACCAGUUUGUGCAACACAGAGAGACUCCUGUCUCUACAAAAAAUGAAAAAAUUAGCUGGGCGUGGUGGUGCACACCUGUGGUCAGCCUCAACAUGGUGACUUCCCAGGAGUGAGGGACCACCAGGCUGCCUAAGGUGGGGUGAACCAGCCCAGGUCAGAAAAGGAGCAGGUCAAACUCCCAUGCUGGUUAGUAGUGGGAUUGCACCUGUGAAUAGACACUGCACUCCAGCCUGGGCAAUAUAGCAAGAACCUGUCUUAA
ensembl:misc_RNA Metazoa_SRP Metazoan signal recognition particle RNA